rnacentral:rRNA from 1 species
UACGUAGGUGGCAAGCGUUGUCCGGAUUUACUGGGUGUAAAGGGCGUGUAGCCGGGCUUACAAGUCAGAUGUGAAAUCCGGGGGCUCAACCCCCGAACUGCAUUUGAAACUGUAGGUCUUGAGUAUCGGAGAGGCAGGCGGAAUUCCUAGUGUAGCGGUGAAAUGCGUAGAUAUUAGGAGGAACACCAGUGGCGAAGGCGGCCUGCUGGACGACAACUAACGGUGAGGCGCGAAAGCGUGGGGAGCAAACAGG